rnacentral:rRNA from 1 species
GACGAACGCUGGCGGCGUGCUUAACACAUGCAAGUCACGGGGGGUCGCAAGACCAACCGGCGAACGGGUGCGUAACACGUGAGCAACCUGCCUUUGUGUGGGGGAUAGCCGGCCCAACGGCCGGGUAAUACCGCAUACGAUUCGUGGAAGGAGUCUUCUGCGAAGGAAACCUCCGGGGCACAGAGAGGGGCUCGCGGCCUAUCAGCUAGUUGGCGAGGUAACGGCUCACCAAGGCGACGACGGGUAGCUGGUCUGAGAGGAUGGCCAGCCACAUUGGGACUGAGAGACGGCCCAGACUCCUACGGGAGGCAGCAGUGGGGAAUCUUGCGCAAUGGCCGAAAGGCUGACGCAGCGACGCCGCGUGGGGAUGACGCUUUUCGGAGUGUAAACCCCUGUUGCCCGGGACGAACCUCGUCUUUCGAGACGACUGACGGUACCGGGUGAGGAAGCACCGGCUAACUCCGUGCCA